CCAAUAGCGUAUAUUAAAGUUGUUGCAGUUAAAAAGCUCGUAGUUGAAUUUCGGAAUCAGUACGCUGGUCGUGCCUCCGGUAUGAACUGGUGUCACUGGUUCCUCCCUUCUGAAGAACCAUCAUGCCAUUCACUUGGUGUGGUGGGAAAUCAGGACUGUUACUUUGAAAAAAUUAGAGUGUUUAAAGCAGGCUCACGCUUGAAUACAUUAGCAUGGAAUAAUGAAAUAGGACGUUGAUCUUAUUUUGUUGGUUUCUAGGAUUGACGUAAUGAUUAAUAGGGAUAGUUGGGGGCAUUAGUAUUCAAUUGUCAGAGGUGAAAUUCUUGGAUUUAUUGAAGACUAACUACUGCGAAAGCAUUUGCCAAGGAUGUUUUCAUUAAUCAAGAACGAAAGUUAGGGGUUCGAAGACGAUCAGAUACCGUCGUAGUCUUAACCAUAAACUAUGCCGACUAGGGAUCGGAUGAUGUUAUUUUUUUAUGACUCAUUCGGCGCCUUACG
rnacentral:rRNA from 1 species